CCUACGGGGGGCAGCAGUGGGGAAUAUUGCGCAAUGGGCGAAAGCCUGACGCAGCGACGCCGCGUGAGGGAUGAAGGUCUUCGGAUCGUAAACCUCUGUCAGCAGGGAAGAACGGUCACUGUGCUAAUCAGCAGUGAAUUGACGGUACCUGCAAAGGACGCACCGGCUAACUCGGUGCCAGCAGCCGCGGUAAUACGGAGGAUGCGAGCGUUAUCCGGAUUUAUGGGGGUUAAAGGGUGCGUAGGCGUAAUAUCAAGUCAGCGGGAAAAAUUCGGGGCUCAACCGCGUCGUGCCGUUGAAACUGAUGUUCUAGAGUGGGCGAGAGGUAUGCGGAAUGCGUGGUGUAGCGGUGAAAUGCGUAGAUAUCACGCAGAACUCCGAUUGCGAAGGCAGCAUCCCGGCGCCCAACUGACGCUGAAGCACGAAAGCGUGGGGAUCGAACAGGAUUAGAUACCCGAGUAGUC
rnacentral:rRNA from 1 species